rnacentral:rRNA from 1 species
GAUGAACGCUGGCGGCGUGCCUAAUACAUGCAAGUCGAGCGAACGGACGCGACGCUUGCUUUUCUGAUGUUAGCGGCGGACGGGUGAGUAACACGUGGAUACCCUCCCUAUAAGACUGGGAUAACUUCGGGACACCGGAGCUAAUACCGGAUAAUCUUUUGAUCCGUAUUGUUCAUAAGUGAAAGACGGUCUUGCUGUCACGUAUAGAUGGAUCCGCGCCGCAUUAGCUAGUUGGUACGGUAACGGCUUACCAAGGCAACGAUGCAUAGCCGACCUGAGAGGGUGAUCGGCCACACUGGAACGGAGACACGGUCCAGAGUACUACGGGAGGCAGCAGUAGGGAAUCUGACGCAGUGGGCGAAAGCCUGACGGAGCAACGCCGCGUGAGUGAUGAAGGUCUUGGGUUCGUAAUACUCUGUUAUUAGGGAAGAACAGAUGUGUAAGUAGAUGUGCACAGCUUGACGGUACCGAAUCAGAAAGCCACGGCUAACUACGUG